AUCCAGCUGACGAGUCCCAAAUAGAACGAAAAAGAGGGUCCUGGAU
rnacentral:hammerhead_ribozyme from 1 species